rnacentral:sRNA from 1 species
CCUCCCCUUGAAUGCUGAGUUACAUGCUAACGAGAUUCUCAGCCAUUUCCUUUUUUAAUUACUGUAUUUUGUUUAUUAUUGUUGCUUUGUGUGUUUGUGCGUGUGAGUAUGUGUGUGCGUGCAUGCGUGCUUGUAAGUCCAAAGACAACUUUGCAGAGUUGAUUCUCUUUUCAUUUUUUGUGGGUUCCAGGACUCAAACUCAGAUCAACAGACUUUUGUGCCAACCUUUUUAAAAAAGGUUUGUUUAAGACGAAUGAGUGUGUUUUGCCUUCUUGUGUGUAUCUGUGCCACAUGGGUGCCUUGUGCUCAAGAAAGUCAGAAAGGAGUGUUGGACCCCUGGAACUGGAAUUAGAAGUUCCUGUUAGCACAUUCUUCUGUCUGCCUUACAGCCCAUACCAGCGAGCCAGCAGGCCUGGGCUCAGGCUGCUCAGCUGGGCCUCCACUCUCCUGCUCCAGACCCGCAAAGCCUCUAGAGUUCGGCUCUGCUCUUCUCCACCCCUCACCCACAGUGACUUUGAAGCACACCAAUUACACUGUGCCCCUCCUCUAUGUUCUAGAACCUCACUGCCCCCCUAGAGAGAGAGAGCCUCCUGCUCAUCCUCAGUGCAUCACUGAGAACAACUGGGUUCUCUUUGGUUUGACAGUGUUUACUGUGUAGCACUGGCUGGCCUGGAACACAGAAAUCUGCCUGCCUCUGCCUCUCAAAUGCUGGGAUAAAGGGCAUGGGCCACCAUGUCUGUGACUCAUUUUAAUAACCUACUUUUUAUUCUGAGACAGCCCUGGCUGUCUUGAAACUCACUCUGUAGACCAGGCUGGCCUUGAACUCAUGGAGAUCUGGCUGCAUGUCUCCUGAGUGCUGGGACUAGAGGUGUGUGCCACCACCACCACCACCCAGCUAAAUAACAUGUGUAAACCCAGUGCCUCCCACAUCUAAACUUUGUUGUUACUGUGCCAAGGACCAAAGGCAUAGAUCAACUGUAUCAGACAACACAUAGAUCAACUGUAUCAGACAAUCUACCACUGAGCUAUCCCCGCAGUCCUCUAGCUGCGCCCCUACAACACAAUAUAAAGGAGUUGACCGGUUUGCGCUCUUUUCUGCAUACUGAGCUCUCAGCGGGCAUCUCAUACCUCUGCACUCAUUUCAAGUGCUCAGCUGCUGGGGCGGGGAACCAUGCUCUGCACAGCACAGCUGCAGUCUCACUCCUCACAGAAAGCUCCUGUUCCCCUGGUCCAACCUCAGCACAGGGUGGCAAGACCACACUCCUUCAGGACAGCCUCCUGUACCCCGCUCUGCCAGGCCUCCCUACCCUCUGCAGUAGAAGCCCCACACAUUUCCACACGAUGCUGUAACUAUCUGCUUUGACUUCUCCAUCUUCCCCACUGAGGAAAACUUUUUAUGUAGCUGAUAAGGCUUAGGUUACAGGCCCUCUCUCCCCCUACAUACCUAAUUUUGUAGAAGCGGUUUCAUAUUCUCCUUCUUAAUAAGUAUCAGGUACCAGAUACAGAGGCUGGACCAACUCCAGUUCCUCCAUUAAGCUGAGUUCCAGGAGAGCCAGGAAGUGUGUUUGAUUUGUCACUGUGUCACAGACCUGACAGGCCGCGAGUAUAAGACAGGCUCCUUUGCGGCCUGCUCUUUCUCUCUCACAGCUUUGGGCCUCCCUUGACCAUGCAGAAAUUCACACUUCACACCCAGACCUGGUGCCCCAUCUUCAGGCUCCUGUGUGCAACCUCUUCCUGGGCAGCCAUAGAAGAGCCCAAACUCACCACUCCUGAGUUUUCUGAACUGAAUUUCAUUUUCCCUCUGGGCUUCUCUUUCUUUGUGGCUGUAUCACUCUCUGCUCAGGCCAAAAAGCUCAGCACUAUCCCAGACUUCUCCCACCCUCCCUCCUCAUUGCCAAGUUCAGACGAUACCUUCUUCAGAACAUCUCCACGGACAGCUGUGUGCAUGCAUGUGUGUACCUGUGUGCAUGUGUGAUGCAGGCUCACUUGCCUUGGUUUCACCCUGCAUUCAAUUGUGGUCCAGACCUAGUUGGUGGAAAGUUCUGGAAACGAACAAAUUGUAACUUCUAAAUUGUAUGGUAUUCUGAGUAGCUGUCCCCGUCCAUCCCGCCUGGGACAUGAGUCAUCUGUGUUCAGUGUGCCCACGGUAUAUUUGCUACCUGCCCACCAGUCGUUUAGUAGUCAUCUUAGUUCAGACCGUCCUCAUUUUGCAAGCUUGUACUCAAACAAUCUUUAUCUUAUUUGAUAAAGGCUUGAAAGUACAAACGUAGUACUCAAAAUUUAGCUAUGCCAAAGAAAAGAUCUAUAAAGGUUGUAAAUUUUAGAUCUGCCCUGUAGGGAUGGUGACACGCAUCCCUUGUGGAUAAGAUGAGACUAUGGUGUGCGUGUGUGUGCUUGCAUGUGCAAACACACAUACUCAGCUGUACAGCUGGGUGCUCCAAACAGCUCCUAGUCAGACUUGCUGCUACCCCUCCUUCUGUUACUAUGCUCCUAUAGUUCAUUCUCGACACAGCAGUUUUGGGAUAACCUCUAAAACUGGACUCUGAUCAUCUCUUCCCACACCUCAAAUGAAACCCAAACUCAGCAUCCAAUUCCCAGGCGCCCUCCCCUCCCCAGUGAUGCCCUGGACCAGUCCCCCUGCCUUGACCACUAACGAAUGGCACUGUUGUGCCCAGUCCUUCCAGCCCUGAGCCUUUGAGAGUGCUCUUCCUCCCUGCAGGCAUGCUUGCCCAGUUCUGAAACCCACUCUUUAGCCUCCCAUGUUUCCCCUCAGGGAGGGUCCCCAUCAGCCUGUCCCUGUGUGUUUCCUCACAGUAACUCGUCACACUCUGAAAUUCCCUUAUUAACUACCACUCUCAUCUCUAUGCCCCCUCACUAGGCAGGUGCUUGUUGGGUUUAUUCUCUAACUGGUUCGGGUGGCAGAGCAUCUAGAAUGCAUGCUGUUCUUCGAAGAGCGCCACCAUGAAUAUUACUUCGAUGUUUAACCCCAUCAUGAUCCAUGGGAGAGAAUAUCACUGUGCUGUAUGGAUGCCUGAAACACCUCUGCAGGCACACACAUAUCCGUGGGAAGAACAAGCAGUUGGAGUAGGCUUGUGUGGAUGUUUAUGCUAUGCUAUUAAUAUUUGUUUCUUGUGCCAUCUGCUGGCACUGGCCGUUUGGGGAACUCUAAAAAACUUCAUCCAGUUAUCUGAGGAAAGGUGUGCAUUAGGCAAGCUCUCUACCACUGAGCUGCAGCCCUGGGCUGGGGAAAAUGACUCAAAGACUGAGAAUUCUGCUGGGAUUAGUGUUGGAGGCUGUGUGAACUGUAACAAUGAGAGGGGGGGGAGAGAGAGAGAGAGAGAGAGAGAGAGAGAGAGAGAGAGAGAGAGAGUUUCCAUCUUAUUCUGACAAUUAGAAGGACAUCAAGGACUAAUUAAACAGUUGAAGGACACCCCUCAGCCGAGCCAUGUUGAGCACAGUAGCUUCUCUGGGACCUAACAUGCAUGGGACCCACAGAGGUAGGAAGGGCCAAGAUGGCCUCUUUCUAUCCAUAGGCUCUCCAUUCUACAGCAAGCAGCUGGCUAUACAGGCCACUGAUCAGAUCCUUUAAGACAAAUAACCCUCAGAGGAAAAUGGGAGACCUUCCUCUGCAGACACACCUGCUUUGCCUGGGUGUGUCUUGCUGGUUGAAUAAGAAAAUUCCUGCUGGGGAGAAAAUAGGCCACAGUGUUCAGGACCAAGUGCCAGGCUUUUCCUCAGAGUCUCACAUCCUGACGAAUUCUUUGGUGCAGAGUGUAGACAUAGGUUUCUGUAAGAACUCAUAUCCUUACACCCCUUUCCGCCAUUGGCACUCCAUGGGGCUGCUCUUCUUUCCCUGGCUGGUCCUUUCUGGCUAAGCUCCUCAGUCCACAUGCAAUGAAGGAAGGGCCUGUCACCCUUGGACGCCAGUGAGCUCUCUGUAGAAUGCUGGCUCUCUGUGAGUGUACAUGGCUAAAUAGGCCAGAAGUUUGUAACCUUGGACCAGAAACAAUACAUAAAGAGCUUCAACAGCCAAUAUAACUUUUCAAAGAGAGCUAAGUGAGGCUGGGGCAUCUGGGCAGACACUUCCAUUGCUGUACUGGGGAUCAUAGAAGGCACCUUACAGCGGUCCGGUAGAUGUGAACCUGACAGUGCUGCUGUAAGUGUCAAAAGAGACCCUCUAAAAUACUACCCGCGGGCUGCUGAGAUGGCUCAGAGGCUAAAGUCUCAUGACCUGAGAUUUAUCCCCUAGGACCACAUGAUAAAGAACCAACUCCUCUGAUCUCCAUGAAAGCAUGUAAUGCACACACUAAAUAGACGUGAAGAGGUAAAAACUAAAGAUAUAUAUAUGUAUAUAUAUAUUUGAUCGAUACGACAUCGUUUCUUUCUGGAAAUAGUCUUGAAUAUAUUUUAUUAGAAUUACAGCUCCCAAGAGACUCCUUCACUCUGAUUCUAGGUGCUUGGAACAGAAUGCAAUGUAACAUGAUGACCCAGCUCAGAAACCUGGCCGUGCCUGCUGGGUGAAAUUUCAAGGCCCUCCGGUGGGAGAACGCCUGCACAUAACGGUGAGGCCGCCCUACUUGACUUACUCACGGUGUACUGUGUAGCUAUUUACUUCCUGGCUACAGGAUGCCAUGGACUGUGAAAGAGAGGUAUAUACAGCUUGCAGAGCAGAAGGUGUUUAUGCCUGGCUUUAUCGGAGUCUGCUGCUGCCUGUGGUGUCUCACCCCAUUCACAGAGACUGAAGGCCUGCGAGAGCAGCAACAUGAUUUGUGGCUCCCACAGAGGAUUCUCUUCCUCGAUGUUAACUGUGUCCCUCACAUGGCCUUUCAUCCGGGUAUAUAAAAAAUAAACAGGGGUUGGGGAUUUAGCUCAGUGGUAGAGCGCUUGCCUAGGAAGCGUAAGGCCCUGGGUUCGGUCCCCAGCUCCGAAAAAAAAAGAACCAAAAAAAAAAUAAAAUAAAAUAAACAGUGUGCAGAGUUCCGUGGAUCAGGAGAUAGUUAACAGGCUGCCUGAGUUAAAACCCAAAUAUACUCAUUCACCAUCACCACUAUCACCAGCUAGCUGCUGUGUGACUUUGGCCAGGUUAAGUGCCCACUCUGAGCCCCUGUCUCCUCAUAUGUAAGAUAGGGAUAACAGUCUCGUUUUGUAGCAUUUAAUAAGAAAUUGUGGUGGUGCACAACUUUAAUUCCAGCACUCAAGAAACAGAGGCAGAUGGAUCUCUGGAAUCAAGGUCAGGAGCCUGGUCUAUACCAGGACAACCAGGGUUGCACAGAGCAACUCUGUCUCAAAAAAGAAAGAGAAGAGAGGAGAGGGGGAGGGGGAGGGGGAGGGACAAAAGCGAGGGAGGGAGAGAGGGAUUGUAAAGGCACGUGGACCCCUCACGAGUAGGAUGGAUUCCCUUCCUGACUCCAUUGAACAGGAAUCCAGUCUCCGAACUGACCUUGAAGAGACUGAACCAAAUACUUCCAGACUAAGACUCUGGGCUCAGACUUUGGGAUACACUUAGGUUUCCCACCCAGUGGUGAUGCAGAAGCCGAUAGGGCAGAGGAAAGGGGAGGAGCUGGUCUUUUGCCUCUCCUGUGUUUCUCUCCUUACCUGGUCAGGGCUUCGCUGCACUAGCUCUGCUUGGACACUCCCAGCAUGCCCUGCUUCCCCCCCUUUUUUUCCCUCCAGACUAAUCAACUUCAGAGCCAUGGCUUAUGGAGAAGGCCCAGUUUCUCUGAGUCCUGCCUUCUCCAUGGAUGUUUAACUAAAGGGACUCAUUGAGAGAGAGAAGAGGGAGAGAAGGGAGAGAAGAGAGAAGGGAGGAGAGGAGGUUGCUUUCAUGGUUUCAUCGGUAAGGAGAAGCACUUUGCAGGGUGGGUACAGGCCUACACUAAGCCACAAAGAUUGAGAACCAGUGUGGUUUGCUACACCAAACACUGAGUUUGCACAGAACUGCCUUAUGCAUCAGUGCGGCAGCUUGUCCUCUCACUGUUGGUGACAUAUAGUAACAACUUAGUCCCUCGGAUCAGAUCAUAGCUCUUAGCCAGUUAAAUCCAGACACAAAAAGGGUGAUUUACUCUGUAGGUAAAAGUCACCCCAGAAUGGAACUCUAAAUAAUUUUUAAACAGCUAUAAUCUUGAGUUAUUAAUACUUAUUACUAUGUGGACAUUAUUCGUGGCAAGUCCAAUGCAUUCAUACGUUAAAUACUGUUGGAUUUACCCUCAUGUAUGGUUAGUAAUUCAACAUUUCAUUAAUAAUACUGUCGAUUAAAAAUCCUUCUGAGCACAGGAUUAGUUUCAACACAGAGUAAGAACACAGUUGCCAUCAGCCCCUGCUUACUGCUUGACAAAGAGCUGUUACUAUUGGCCUGGACAAUUAAGUUGGACAAAUUCUCUAUUAAAAUUAUGCAAUUGUCGAAUAAUUAAUAUUUAUUUAAUUAUUGUUACUUAUAAAUAUUUAUUACUUAUUUAAUAAAUAAUGGUUAUUUAAUGAUUAUUAAAGUUUUGCAGCACUCACUUAUCGAGCUUUGUUUUGAUGGCCUUGCUCAGGUGCAGCAGAAAUUUCAGAGUGUGUUGAGUUUCAUGGGAAGCAGAAUCAUUACAAGGAGGCAGGUCAGAGGGGGUUUGAACACUGCUGCCCUCCCUGAUACACACCUGGGAUUUUCUCAGAGAAGUCAGGACUCCAUAAUGAGGCCUAUCCAUGGAGGCUCCUGCUUCCUCAGCUUGAAUUAUGCAGCAAUGACUCACCCUCUCUCUAAGCCUGUGGCUUCCUAGAGCAGCAGCCUGACAGGAAACAUCGGUGAUUAGGGAGUCAGACCCAGCCAGCACUGUGACCCCAGGCAGGACUUUCCCUGUCUGUGCCCGGUGUAAAAGAUAAAUGGAGGAACGACCACUGUGUGGGGCUGAUCAGAACCAGAGUGAUUUGGACUCAGACAUUAGCAUAGAAGUCAGAGUUAGACAGAACCUUUUGGUAAUUAAAGAACUCUAUCCUUUACCCUAGAGACUGGGAAAGGGUGGGGAAGAGACCUGGCCAGGUCAUACCAUUAAUUGAAAAGUAGCAUCAGAUUAGAACUCAGGGGAUCUGGCUUUUGGUUCCAUGCUCUGACCAAAAAAUAAAACACUGUGUUACUUCAAAAUUCCCAAAGGAAGUGCUAUAAUCCCUUGCCUCCUGUUGCAGAGGUCGGUAGACAUCCUGUCCACUCAUCAAAACUGCUAGGGAUUAAGUAGCUGCUAAGUCCUCUGCUCUCUGCACGGAAGAUUUUGCUUCCACUAAAAGCUAUAAGCCAACCUUUGCGCAAACUCACCCUCCAGAACUGGAAAGACAGGGGUCCCUAUUUGGGAUUUGUUUUCCUGAGGUCACCGCCCCAUAUGAUGUCAUCUUUCAAGUCGCUGAACCAUCCAGUGAAUUUAAGCAGGAAAGCCCCUCCCCCAGCCCCCGGCAGAGAAGCCCCAGCAUUGGUGUGUCGGAUAACAGACCUCCAGUAUAUAUAAACUGAAGCCUCCACCUGGAGUCUGGUUUGUCAGUGAGAGAGCGCAGGGUGGAGGUAGGGGUUUAUCUCCAGUGUAGGUGGGAAAAAAACCCCUCCCUCCCUAGACUCCACCUAAUCUGCACUCUUUCCCAAGUCCAGCCUGUAAACAAACACACUUGAAAAUAAUGGGGCCGCCUAAAUCAGAACUCCCUGUACACGGAAGAAAUCAGCAUUUUCUCUCUCUCUCUCUCUCUCUCUCUCUCUCUCUCUCUCUCUCUCUCUCUCUCUCUCUCUCUCUCUCUCUCUCUCUCUCUCCUUCCUCCAAAGCCGGCUCAAAUGGCAUUCCAGACACCCAGCUGGAUUCAAACCCUGACUCCACUGCCUGCUUGUUAUGUGACCCUGGAUGAAUGUUCUAACUUCUCCUCCAGCUUCAGUUUCUUUCCUGAAGGGGUGCAAUGGCUGCUCUCAGGAGACCGUAUUCUGUGGACAUGCCAGCAGUGCGAGUUUCUGACUCCAAGGAACCCAGACAUGAGCCUACAGUGAAUCUCCCAAGCUUUUUGGAAACCACACUAACUGGAAGUGUCAAUGUGCCAGCCUGGAAUAUCAGAGCAGAACCAUCAGAGGAGUAGGAAUAAGUGAGCUUCCUCCUUUGCCCUGGUUACUCAGACCUUUCCCUAUCUCCCCCCUUUGUGAAUACAGCACUUUGCAGUGAGCCCACAUGCACCUCCUACAGGAAUUCUAGAGGGUCUCUCUCUUCCCCUGCGCAGAGGUGAGCUGGGGUCUGGCUGAACCCUCCUACCAUAGCAUAGC